rnacentral:misc_RNA from 1 species
UCCCGGUUAACCCGGGCAGUCUCGCUAGAGUGCUCAACUAAAUGGUAGCAACUAACAAUAAGGGUUGCGCUCGUUGCGGGACUUAACCCAACAUCUCACGACACGAGCUGACGACAACCAUGCACCACCUGUCUUCCUGUCCCCGAAGGAACUUUCCCGAUUAAGGGUAAUGCAGGAGAUGUCAAGUCUAGGUAAGGUUCUUCGCGUUGCUUCGAAUUAAACCACAUGCUCCGCUGCUUGUGCGGGCCCCCGUCAAUUCCUUUGAGUUUUAACCUUGCGGCCGUACUCCCCAGGCGGAUAACUUAAUGCGUUAGCUGCGCCACCAAAACCCUAAGGGCCCUGACAGCUAGUUAUCAUCGUUUACGGCGUGGACUAC